rnacentral:rRNA from 1 species
AGACCCGAAACCCGGUGAUCUAGCCAUGGGCAGGUUGAAGGUUGGGUAACACUAACUGGAGGACCGAACCGACUAAUGUUGAAAAAUUAGCGGAUGACCUGUGGCUGGGGGUGAAAGGCCAAUCAAACCGGGAGAUAGCUGGUUCUCCCCGAAAGCUAUUUAGGUAGCGCCUCGUGAAUUCAUCUCCGGGGGUAGAGCACUGUUUCGGCUAGGGGGCCAUCCCGGCUUACCAACCCGAUGCAAACUGCGAAUACCGGAGAAUGUUAUCACGGGAGACACACGGCGGGUGCUAACGUCCGUCGUGAAGAGGGAAACAACCCAGACCGCCAGCUAAGGUCCCAAAGUCAUGGUUAAGUGGGAAACGAUGUGGGAAGGCCCAGACAGCCAGGAUGUUGGCUUAGAAGCAGCCAUCAUUUAAAGAAAGCGUAAUAGCUCACUGGUCGAGUCGGCCUGCGCGGAAGAUGUAACGGGGCUAAACCAUGCACCGAAGCUGCGGCAGCGACGCUUAUGCGUUGUUGGGUAGGGGAGCGUUCUGUAAGCCUGCGAAGGUGGCCUGUGAGGGUUGCUGGAGGUAUCAGAAGUGCGAAUGCUGACAUAAGUAACGAUAAAGCGGGUGAAAAGCCCGCUCGCCGGAAGACCAAGGGUUCCUGUCCAACGUUAAUCGGGGCAGGGUGAGUCGACCCCUAAGGCGAGGCCGAAAGGCGUAGUCGAUGGGAAACGGGUUAAUAUUCCCGUACUUGGUGUUACUGCGAAGGGGGGACGGAGAAGGCUAUGUUGGCCGGGCGACGGUUGUCCCGGUUUAAGCGUGUAGGUGUGUGUUCCAGGUAAAUCCGGUUCACUUUAACACUGAGGCGUGACGACGAGGCACUACGGUGCUGAAGCAACAAAUGCCCUGCUUCCAGGAAAAGCCUCUAAGCAUCAGGUAACAUCAAAUCGUACCCCAAACCGACACAGGUGGUCAGGUAGAGAAUACCAAGGCGCUUGAGAGAACUCGGGUGAAGGAACUAGGCAAAAUGGUGCCGUAACUUCGGGAGAAGGCACGCUGACACG